rnacentral:rRNA from 1 species
UGGGGAAUAUUGGACAAUGGGGGAAAUCCUGAUCCAGCCAUGCCGCGUGCGUGAAGAAGGCCUUAGGGUUGUAAAGCGCUUUCGGCGGGGAAGAUGAUGACGGUACCCGCAGAAGAAGCCCCGGCUAACUCCGUGCCAGCAGCCGCGGUAAUACGGAGGGGGCUAGCGUUGUUCGGAAUUACUGGGCGUAAAGGGCGCGUAGGCGGGCGAUCAAGUCAGAGGUGAAAGGCCUGGGCUCAACCUGGGAAUUGCCUUUGAAACUGAUUGUCUAGAGUCCGGAAGAGGAUGGCGGAAUUCCCAGUGUAGAGGUGAAAUUCGUAGAUAUUGGGAAGAACACCAGUGG